CGAAUAAAAGCAAAGCAAAAUAUCAUAUUAUCCAAUUUCACUCCCGCACUGCCAAUACUCUGCAUUGCCAAAAUCAGAUGAACCCCGUCUCGAUACAAAACAGGGGAACAAGACAUAAGAUCCUCCACCCAGCUGAAUUAGGAAUGCGCUCAAUGCUGUUGCCACCCCAAUGCAACAUUAUAACAUCCGGAGGGCCAAACUGAUCAACCAACCCUAGCAUUUUUAGGUGCCAUAUGUUUCCAUGUCAUGUCCCUCUGGCCAAACCAUCUUAUGGACAUUUUCCUGGAUAGAAGGACGUGUCAUAUUGUCAUUUUGGUGGGGGCCAAGUCAGAAGUAUCAGUGUAUGGUCGAUGCUUAUGUUGCCUCAAAGGAUAUGAAAGGGUGUGGUUCAUUUAACCGGAAAGAAUUUCUAUCAGGACAGCAGAUCACAUUAUAUUUUAGUUGCCUCUAUGCUAUUGAGAAGACGAUUAACUAUGAUGACUAUAUAUGCGCAAAAUUAGAAAAUGAAAAAGAUUGUGUGUGCUUAUCUUGUCUAUUUUGUAAUAUAUGAUUCUAAAAUAAAGGUAUACCAUUUAUAAUAGGAUACGAUUGUGAAAUAUUCAUCAUCGGAACCCACUGCUCAAAGGCCGUAAUUUAAGCGCCGAGCAUAGGCCUAAAUUUUGCAACCCUCACUGACAAUGGUGACGUCUCCAUAUGAGUGAAAAAUUCUUCGGCGGGACGUUAAAUGAUAAUCAAUGAAUCAACCCGUGGGUUCCAAUAAUGUCAGAUAUUAAAGAUAUUGACUUUCCCAGCAUACUAAAUGACUUCAAUAUGACCAUCAUUAGUAUGUUACAGUUACAAGCAAGAUCUUCUUAUGAUGUUGAAAUAUAAUUCACAUACCUAUGUUUAAAAAGAUACGUUAAACGAGUGACACUGCAUGAUGAACGUCCAGACUAUAGAAAAUAGAGGCCCUCAAUUGUUUUGAAUCAAAUACCAAGGUCACAAGUCAAGGUCAAAAUACUUCCUCGUAAGUAACUAUGUAAAUUGUCAAGUCAUGUAUUAAGAAAUGUUAGUUUAAUAGAUUUCAUACAUGGUACUGGCAUAAUAUUUCUUGCACAUACAUAGUAAGCAGAGCUAAUAUUGAAUUGAACUGCAGAGGGGGGGGGGGGGGGGGGGGUAAUUCCUCAUGAAUCAAUGAUAAAUUACAAUCUUUAUGUAUCCUAUUUAGUUUAUUUAACUUGAACAAUUUUUAAGAUCAAUGAUUCAAUUUCAAUGUCACACUUAAUUCGAUUGGCAAGGUGAAAAAAUGUACAUGAUAGUUUGAAAUAACUGAAAUAUUCAAAUAUGCAUUUUCUAAAUAUGGUAGUUAUUUUGAUGAAUUCUAAAGAUAUACAAUGCAAUUUGUGAUACAUGUACAAUACACAAAUAGAAAUCAUGCACAUUUGAAAAAAACAACUAAAAAAAACAACAACUAUUCAUUGAUUUAAUUAUCUGUUACAAAUUAAGAGUUUUUAUGAUUGAAGAACAUGCAUGAUGUAUAACAAAAUGAGAUUUACUUGAAAAGAAUGUGAACAUCAAGUUUGCUGUUUUGUGAUAUUUUGUUACCAUAGCAACAAUGUAAUAUGAAUUAUCUAUCAGUAUUAAUAUUUUAUGAACAUUGACUUCAGUUGAAUCUGUCUAUAAAAGCAUUUUUUUUUUUUGGUCUAAAAAUUUAUUUAUUUUGCAUGGAUUUCGAAUUUGAAAAGAAAUAGCAAUUUUCGUUUCCAUGGCAACCAACAUGAAUUUUCAUAUUAAACUUGUUAAAAUUUAAAAUCCAACAUCAGUAGCAGUCGGUUAUUAAGAUUAUAUACUUUGAAUACAUAGAAAAUUGUAUUUUGAAUUACAUUGAAAAAUGCAUCUCUACUGUCAUAUCAUGACGAAAUGCAUCAUUUUGUUUCCAUGGAAACACAGCUUAGAUGGUAGAUUCCCAAACAUGUCUCAUUGUUAUAUGAUAGUACUAUAUCUAAUGUAUGUUGUACAAGCAUUUAUAGAUUUCAAGCUGAAUGCGGGAAUUUUUAUCCAUCAUUCAAAUUUGCCUCUAAAUUAGCUUUUUCAGAAUGUAUCAAACAACCCUCUUUUCCAGACAGAAUGAAAAUAUAACAGAAUUAUUCAAACCUUUAACUAAAUAUCAAACUAAAUAUUAAAAAUGCUAUAUAUUAUCAUUUUAUAAUGAUUAAAUAAGAACUCAAACAGCUUAAUCCAGCAUAGUUGAAUAAAAAAUGUCAUUUUUCAUGUGAAAAUUGACUCUUUUGUGACCUGAAUGGCAUGCACGUGUUACCAUGGCAACAGAGUUGCAUAGCAACCAAAUUAUGAUGGUUUUACAUUACUUAUGCCAGAUUAAGUCGAUGUGCCAAAUUUGAAAAAAAUCGGUGACAGUGCGUGCCGGACCCCUUAUAUAAUUGUGUAAGUGGUUACAGAGAAUGGCUCUUAAGUUUUAAAGGACAUAUCGCAUGUUACUAAAAAAAAUAUUUUUUUUCAGCAAACUUAAUUCUUUCCAUGCCUUAAACUACUUUAAAUAUGUUUUAAAUUAUGUUUUAAAUUAAAUAUUUUGCGUACUUUUCGAGUUUGAAAGCGAUGACAUUCAAGAAUGAAUUAUGUGAAAAGAAAACUUGAUUGUACUAUAAAUGAUGAGACCAGUGGACACACGUAUCAGUGGUAAAUUGCAUUUCAGAUAUAAUCUUUGUUAUGAAUUGCUGAACUAAAGAAAGGAAAUUUUGUACAGGAAGUAAAGUCUUUAACGGUUCAGGGUCGAAUAUGUCACAAUGCUAUAAGAUGUAUGUCUUUCGCAAUAAAGUUAUUAUUAAUAAGUGUGGGAAAUAUUCAAGAAAGAUACUUUUCGUGACUGACAUGGGUUUUUACCCCGUGUGUGACAAAGGAAUAGGGUAUCUGAUAAGAGCUCUAUUCGUCCUGCACAACAGUUGUGUUAAUAUUUCAAAUUUAAGUCAUUAAGUGACAGAAUCAACUCAAAGCUAUUUGCAGUAUUUUGACAUAAAAUGUCUAUUUUAUCACAGUUUUUCUUGUAGGAAACUCGAAGCGCCGAUUUGAAAAGAAAGAACGACACAGGUUAAAUUAAUAUGGCGUGUAAAUCAUUGCAGUAUGAUACAAUUCUGCAUUUAUAUGUGAAAAUUAAAUUAAUAUUCAAUAUAUUUUGAUAUCUAUACGCGAAAAUCUUAAUUCAUAUUCGAUAAUCUUGUUAUGUAUAUAUGUGAAACUUUUGACUUAUAUUUGAUAAUUAUAUUAUUCAUAUGCGAAAAUAUUGAUUUAUAUUUGAUAAAUCUCGAUGUAUAUCAAUAAUCUUGUUAUUUUUCUGCGAAAAUCUCGAUGUAUAUUCGAUACACCAUGAUUUAUAUUCGGUAAAUCUUGAUUUAUAUUCAAUAUACCGAUAUAUAUUCAAUAAAUCUUGAUGUAUAUUCGAUACGUCUUGAUUUAUAUGUGAUAAAUCUUUAUUUAUAUUCAAUAAAAGGAUAUAUAAGUAGUAUAUGCGUCUGUCUGGGGUGGGUAAACAAUAGACCUAUUGUUCUCGAGAACAAUAGAAAUGGGUUUUUCCAGUUAUUUUAGAUAGACCUAUUGUUCCCGAGAACAAUAGGUCUAUUGAUAAAGGGUUUUUCCAGUUAUUCUUAGAUAGACCUAUUGUUCCCGAGAACAAUAGGUCUAUUGAUAAAGGGUUUUUCCAGUUAUUUUGUAGAUAGACCUAUUGUUCCCGAGAACAAUAGGUCUAUUGUUAAAGGGUUUUUCCAGUUAUUUUUAGAUAAAAUCUAUUGAUAUCCUCUGAGAUCAUGGGGGAAAUAGAUAAACAAAUAAACGAAAUUACUUAAAAAGUGAUUAAAUAGGUAAAAACGAAAGAAAGAAGGAAUUAUCUCCCUUUGCUUCAAGUUGAGAUUAAAGGCAUUGUGGGCUGAUCCUCGGAAUAUUCCAGCCAUUGACUGCGGAGGAAUACUACGCCGCCAGACGAUGUGGAGAUGGGUAACAUUGAAGAAGACCCUUGCGUAAAGUCUGCGCACUCCACCCCUUCAGACGGACCCCCCCCCCCCCUCCCAUCCCCGCCACGGUCACCCAUCCAAACGAGAUCAAUGACUGCUCAAAAGUAGUGAGUAUUAUAUCAUUAAUAUAUUGACUAAGUGAACACGUAAUUUUUUUCUUUCGUGUAUUUUGUAUUAGAUUUGAAUGCUCGUGAAUGUAAAAGUAAUUAUUGUGGAAUUAUUAUGGAUUAGAUCAAUUAAAAGAAAGUGUCACUCCACAGUAAUAUUAUUUUGAAAAUAAAAACUUUUUCUUUUCAGAUCCAGAUCAUGAGUGUAACCUUGAAACCAAAUACAAAAUUAAUGAAAAAAUGUACUUGUUUUUUUUUUUUUUUUUUUUUUAUUUCUUAUGACCAUCGUCUCUGACAGAUACAGGUAUAUCCAUCGAUGCAUUAAAGUAAAAUUAGUGUCAAGUUUCUUCGCUCGGAGUCCCUUGGAUUAUCUGAUACGACCUGCUCCAUUACGCCACUCGCAUAAUAUAACAAUACCUCAUUGAAUUUUACAUAGCAUCUCUUCGAUUCAUCCUGGUAUACAAGUAAAGCUUUUUAAAAAAGCUUGCCGUCUUUAGCAGCAACUCUAUAGAGCGAAGUUGAAUUAUGUCCCUUGUCUUCAUUAUUGAAUUGAGCUAAAAUAAAUAAUCUCACGGACAUCAUGCCUAUAAAGCUGUGUCCCGACUCCCAUUGUAAAAGUUUGUAUUUAUGAAGGGUAUAUGUACUGGAAAUCAAAAUCACUGUUCCCUGUAUUAGCACUGAUUAAAGCCUCUAUAUCAAACGAAAUUGAGAUUUUCAGUGUGUAUAUCAAAAUAUUUAUUUUUUAACAAAGUUAUGAAACGAAACAAAACAAACUAAAAAUAUAAUAUCAGUAAUCAAGAGUGAAUUCAUCAAAAUUCUAAUGUGAUUCAACGUUACUUCACAGACAUAAAUAUCAUUGUGUCUCUGAUUUAAAUCAUGAAAAAACGUCACUCUAUGAUAUGUAAGAAAAAAUAUGAAACAAUCACACAUAAUUAACUAUACUUCUGGAAGUCCCUGAAAAUGCAUAAAUUAGACUCGUUUACCUAAAUUGUAACAACAGGUGGAUGGAUUAUUUUUUUGCAUGCUUUCAAAAAACCCAGUGACCCUCAUUUUGAAGUCAAGCCUUAUUUAUUCUUAUGUAAUUCUUAGCUUAAGGUAUCAUUAAAACUGUUUUGUAGGGAUUAGUCCUACCUAAUAGACAAUUCCCAAAACACAAGCAAUCAAAACAAAAAACGGCGAGUUUUUCUGUUUGUAUGCAAAAAUGAAAACAUUGCUGUAAAUGAAGUAACCAUAGAAAUGCUUUGUAUUAGUUGCUUUUAAAAAAGUAAUGUGUCAAUUUUUCUUUUGUUCGUUUUGUCGAUUUUUUUAAGAUUGAAAAUCUUGAAAAAUUGUUAAGUCGUUCAAAAAUUAGAACACCAGAAAAGUAUCUCCCUUGCCUUGAAGAGGAUUUCAACCAAUGAAAUAAUUGAAAAUUUUCACUUCAUGCACUUUCUACCAAUGAAAAAAGAGAGGAAGUGCAAAGUCCGAAGACUGCAAAACACUUCAACUCUGUUCCAAGGAAGACGGUAAUGACCCUUUCCAUUCUUGUCGAGAACAAUACAUUAUCUAAAAAUAAUCGGAAAACCCCGGUCAUCAAUAGAUCGGUUAUCAAUG